rnacentral:rRNA from 1 species
UAAGGAAUAUUGGACAAUGGAGGCAACUCUGAUCCAGCCAUGCCGCGUGAAGGAAUAAGGCCCUAUGGGUUGUAAACUUCUUUUAGACGGGACAAAACCCCUUUACGUGUGAAGGGUUGAUGGUACUGUCAGAAUAAGCAUCGGCUAACUUCGUGCCAGCAGCCGCGGUAAUACGAAGGAUGCAAGCGUUAUCCGGAAUUAUUGGGUUUAAAGGGUGCGUAGGCGGACUAAUAAGUCAGUGGUGAAAGCCUGCAGCUUAACUGCAGAAUUGCCAUUGNUACUGUUAGUCUUGAGUACAGUUGAGGUAGGCGGAAUGUGUCAUGUAGCGGUGAAAUGCUUAGAUAUGACACAGAACACCGAUUGCGAAGGCAGCUUGCUAAGCUGUAACUGACGCUGAGGCACGAAAGCGUGGGGAGCAAACA